GAUGAACGCUGGCGGCGUGCCUAAUACAUGCAAGUCGAGCGAACGGACGAGAAGCUUGCUUCUCUGAUGUUAGCGGCGGACGGGUGAGUAACACGUGGAUAACCUACCUAUAAGACUGGGAUAACUUCGGGAAACCGGAGCUAAUACCGGAUGAUAUUUUGAACCGCAUGGUUCGAAAGUGAAAGACGGUCUUGCUGUCACUUAUAGAUGGAUCCGCGCUGCAUUAGCUAGUUGGUAAGGUAACGGCUUACCAAGGCAACGAUGCAUAGCCGACCUGAGAGGGUGAUCGGCCACACUGGAACUGAGACACGGUCCAGACUCCUACGGGAGGCAGCAGUAGGGAAUCUUCCGCAAUGGGCGAAAGCCUGACGGAGCAACGCCGCGUGAGUGAUGAAGGUCUUCGGAUCGUAAAACUCUGUUAUUAGGGAAGAACAUAUGUGUAAGUAACUGUGCACAUCCUGACGGUACCUAAUCAGAAAGCCACGGCUAACUACGUG
rnacentral:rRNA from 1 species